rnacentral:rRNA from 1 species
UGGCCAGUGGUCUAAUACGCCGCUGGAUUGACGGUACCGAGAGAAGAAGCCCGGCUACUCGUGCCAGCAGCGCGGUAAGUACGGGGGGGGCAAGCGUUGUUCGGAAUUACUGGGCGUAAAGGGUGCGUAGGUGGCCGGGUAAGUCUGAUGUGAAAGCUCUGAGCUCAACUCAGAAACGGCAUUGGAAACUGCCUGGCUUGAGGAUCGGGAGGGGAGACUGGAAUUCUCGGUGUAGCAGUGAAAUGCGUAGAUAUCGAGAGGAACACCAGUGGCGAAGGCGAGUCUCUGGACGAUUCCUGACGCUGAGGCACGAAAGCUAGGGGAGCAAACAGGAUUAGAUACCCUGGUAGUCCUAGCCGUAAACGGUGCGCAUUUGCUGUGGGCGGAAUCGACCCCGUCCGUGGCGAAGCUAACGCGAUAAAUGCGCCGCCUGGGAAGUACGGUCGCAAGAUUA